GCUGGGGUGAUCGGAGCCAGGCCGGGAGCGUGCCAAGAGGGGAGACACCUCCGGGGUUCAGAGUGCGGGGGACAGACAGAGCGGGCUCUCGAGACCUCGGGGGACCGUGACAGCCUGCGGCACAAGGACGAGUGCUCCUGAAAAGAUGAGGCCAUGCUGGGGUCAGUGCCUGGAGAGCUGUGGCAGGUGACGCAAACGAGUGACAGCCUGGGGAACAUCCUCGCAUAGAAUCACGUGAUUUCCACAUUACGUGUGCAAGAACCAGCCUCGCUUCCAAAAGGUAGGCUGUCCUCUGUUUUCUUGAAACAUGCAGCCUUCUCAGAUUGUGUAUCAUUCCUCCACGUUUGACAGCAACACAUUUUAAGAAUGUA
rnacentral:lncRNA from 1 species